ACUUGGAUCAACAGCUGUUCUCCCACUAGGGUGGCUCUUUUUUCCCUUAUUUGGAACUCAUUGUCAAAAGAAAGACACCACACCCUGUGUUAUGUAGCCUUAACCAAGCAGCAGGCCACGUCCCAGGCUCCCUGCCUUCAGGACUGUAUUUAAUUCGGUGUUUUUGUUUUUGUUUUCUUUUGAAAUCAGUGUUCCUGGACGGGGCCAGGAAAACUCUGAAGCUGUCUUAAAAACAAUAUAAACCAAAAAAGUCGGAAUUUUUUAAAAGUACAUUUUUAAAAAAAGUUGUAGGCCGUUAGAGGCGAACUGGAGCGUGGUAAGGGGGGCACCGAGUUCAGCAGUGGGGCGCCCUGUCCGCGUUCGAAGCUGAGCCCAGUCCUGG
rnacentral:lncRNA from 1 species